GACGAACGCUGGCGGCGUGCUUAACACAUGCAAGUCGAACGGAAAGGCCCCUUUGGGGGUACUCGAGUGGCGCACGGGUGAGUAACACGUGAGUAACCUGCCCUUGACUUCGGGAUAACUUCAGGAAACUGGGGCUAAUACCGGAUAGGAAUCCUUGCUGCAUGGUGGGGGUUGGAAAGCUUCGGCGGUUUUGGAUGGACUCGCGGCUUAUCAGCUUGUUGGUGGGGUAGUGGCUUACCAAGGCUUUGACGGGUAGCCGGCCUGAGAGGGCGACCGGCCACAUUGGGACUGAGAUACGGCCCAGACUCCUACGGGAGGCAGCAGUGGGGAAUAUUGCACAAUGGGCGGAAGCCUGAUGCAGCAACGCCGCGUGCGGGAUGACGGCCUUCAGGUUGUAAACCGCUUUCAGCAGGGGCGAAGCUUGUGGUGACGGUACCUGCAGAAGAAGCACCGGCUAACUACGUG
rnacentral:rRNA from 1 species